rnacentral:tRNA from 1 species
GCCUGGCUGGCUCAGUUGAUAGAGCAUAUGACUCUUAAUCUCAGGGUUAUGAGUUCAAGUCCCAUGCUGGGCA